AUACAAUAGAUGGCCAUAAACUACAGAUACACAGAUAGCUCGCAUUAUUAUUACAGAGUUUACUCGACUUAAACAGUUCUUUUAUAUAGAAAUCGUAUCAAUAUAAUAAAAACUCAACUUGAAUGAGUUAUAGUAUAACCUCUAAAUGUCGCCUUUUAUACGCCACUGAAUAUUACACGUUGUAUACUGUGGCUUUUGCAAUUUAUCGGCUUGUCUUCGACUGUGGACAUUUAAACCUUCGCACAAGGGACGGUUUUUAUUAAAGGAUCAACAUGUUAUUGGGUGAACUUUUAUUAGUUCUAAUAAUAUAUAUUCUGCUGAUCUACAACAUUAUAAACCUUAUCAUGACGAAGAUAAAAGAAACAAAGGCACGGAAAGAACCACCAUUACCUCACAAAUUGCUCAAACAUAAACAUCCACAGUUUAAUGUUCCGAAUGGUUUACAUGAUACUCAAGAUUUAGAUGAUGAGAUUAUCACCGAAAGACAGACAAUGAAUGACAAUUUCACUCAAGCCGUGAAGACAUACCAGCAAAACAUGGCCGAGCGGAAAUCAGCGCCUCAUUCGCGAAAGAUAUCAGAGGAUCAAUGGGAAGCGAAAAGAGUUCGAUCCAGAAAAAUUAGCAGAAUUUGUAAAGUGAUUCCUACUGCUAGUCUUCUAUUGUCAAAAGCAAUACAGGAUGAGACAGUGACAGCGCCAGCUUCCUGUCUGGAGGAUCUGGAAGACGAAGCUAUACAAGAAGAAGGGGCUGAGGAUGUAGAAAAUGACGAUAUAGAAAAUGACGAUAUAGAAAACGAUGGGGAUUUAGAAAACGCUGAAAGUGUUUACACGGAUUCUUUGGCAGAAUGAAUAACUAUUUAUUUCGAUCGGGUUUUACAAGCAGAACCAUCCCAGUAAGGUUUCUGUAACGGGAAUAAUACAAAAGCCACAGGUGUUUCAAAAUGUUGACAAAGUUCUUAUGACCAAAUGGAAAUCGGCUAUUAUGACUCGAAAGAAAAUAUCACAAAUUCGCGCCAGUAGAUCGUUUAAAAGGAAAAGGUUUCGCUGACAGGAUUAAUAGAUCCGCACAAAAUCAAAAGUUGAUGAAAUGAAAAUGAAAUGAAAUGAGGUUUAACGUCUUACUGUUCUGCUCCUAAACUGGGCUAAUGAAGACGGGCAUACUCCAUACAGUGUGCUAUGCGGGAAAUUUUGCCCUGACAGCGGCACUACGGCCUACUCUUAUAUCGAAUUCCAACUGCCAACGGAUGUUUUACCUGCACGCCAAUGUGUACACGGGACCUCGGUUUUUCGUCUUAUCCGAAUGACUAGACAGCUGUCCUUGUCAGCCCCCCCCCCGUCCUGCAUCAAUGACAAGGGGGAACCGAACAACACACACAUUAAAUGUGGGCGUAUAAAUAUCGCCAAAACCAUUCCAGCAAGUUUGGUCAUUGCAGAAACAUUAGUUAAAUUUGGUGCUAAGAAGUGUAAAAUAAUUGAUACAAAUUUCUUUAUAUUUUUGUUUGCAUUUAUUUUUUUUAUUUAAUAAUCUUAAUAUUUUAGAAAAUAAUUUUGUGUUUUUUUAUUAGGAAAUUAAUAUUUUCUUGCAAUAUUAGACCUGCAAAUAUCCCUUGAUCAUCUUAUUGCGAAUUGGUGGCGAAUUGCAUUCGUAAGUCCAUUUGUACGAAAGCCCAGAAGGCUCAUUCCAAAUUCCAAAUUCCAAAUGCGAAAUUCCAAAUCUGAUCCGACCAAUCGGAUCAGGUUUUGCUUUUGACUAAUCAGAUAAGUAUAAUAACAAUAUUCCAGUUCCGGUUUGCUUUGGCAGAUGUGAACAGUUUGGUGAUUGGUUCCAUAUCAGUAGUAGUACUUGAUCACUUACUCAGUUCCUUCAGUGUAAAAGUUCCACGGGUAUUGAAUGUAUAGGUCAAAUCUGCCGCAUCGGCGACACUUAUCUUCUCUGCAGCAGCCAUGGUGAUUGUAAUGUCACGUGAUUAUGUCGAAUUUGGAAUUUCGCAUUUGGAAUUUCGAAUCUAGUAAUUUGGAACGGGUGUUUAUCCGGCCCAGGCAUCGG